AAUAGCCCUGAGGCAAUAGGGCUACAAUAUGUGGAUGAAUUUCUCCUCUGUGCUGAGACAGAGCAAGCUUGUUUUCAAGCCUCAGAAGACUUCCUAAACUUUCCAGCUGGCUGUGGUUACAAGGCAUCAAAGGAGAAAGCUCAGCUUUGUCAACAGUCAGUUAAAUAUCUGGGCCUCAUCAUCUCAG